rnacentral:rRNA from 1 species
GACGAACGCUGGCGGCGUGCCUAAUACAUGCAAGUCGAACGCAGUGGGGACAGGUGCGUAACACGUGGGUAACCUCCCCAUCAGAGGGGAUAACACUUGGAAACAGGUGCUAAACCGAUACUGAUGGAUGAACCCGCGGUGCAUUAGCUAGUUGGUGAGGGAACGGCUCACCAGGGCCACGAUGCAUAGCAUAUCUGCUAGGGUGAUCGGCCACACUGGGACUGAGACACGGCCCAGACGCCUACGGGAGUCAGCAGUAGGGAAUCUGCGGCAAUGGACGAAAGCCUGACCGAGUAACGCCGCGUGAGGGAAGAAGGUUUUCGGAUCGUAAAACUCUGUUGUUAGAGAAGCGAUAUCUAACCAGAAAGCCACGGCUAAGUACGUGCCAGCAGCCGCGGUAAUAC